CGCGGGGUGGAGCAGCUCGGUAGCUCGCUGGGCUCAUAACCCAGAGGUCGCAGGUUCGAAUCCUGCCCCCGCUACUA
rnacentral:tRNA from 4 species